CCCCGGUGCGGGCAGGAGAACAAAGGAGCCGCUGCUGCUCCCGGGUCUGUGCGUGGGGGCGGGGCAUUAACCCCUCCGUGCCCGGCCGGGGGGGGGGACUUUCUCCAGCUGGGCCCCGCCCCCGCCCCGGAGCCCCCGCUUUGCGAAGAGGGGCUGCUAACAGAAAGUUUCGCAAGGGAGUUCUCCAGGUGAAGGAGGAGCUAAUACAGCAUCUGUGGGGCUGCAGAAUGACGUCCAUGUUUCAGUCAACUUCAUCCCAUCCUCCCGUGGGACAGAGCAGAGAAAUGGCUGCAGAGGAGUCAGUCCAGGGUUUCCAGUUUCCCAAUCUGAUGCGAUCUCCCACCUGGAACAAGGGGAAGAGUCAUGG